rnacentral:lncRNA from 1 species
GUCUCUAGUCCUUCUCAUGAUUUGAUGAAGUCAGUGAGAGAAUUUAUGACUUAUCGGUUGGACCAGCUAGUCUCUAGUCCUAUACAUAACUUGAUGAAGUCAGUGAGAGGAUUUAUGAUUUGCAGGUUGAUUGAUGCUUUAUAAAAUAUAUUAACUACAUCCUCUAAAUUAUUAGGUCCAUAAAAUGAGCUAGUUAUGAGGAUAACUAGAUCAAAGCCUCCUAUUAAGGUACAUAAUAAUGCGUUCAAUAUUCUAAAUAGGCAUUGGAGGUGCCACACGCCUGGUAUCUAUUGGCCAUUAGAAUUAUCAUUUAUCAUAUGACCAUCUUGUUGUGUCCUUCAGAUCCAUGGUCAAGUUGGUCGAGUCACACUUGGGUCUAGACAUUCGUUUGCUGGAUGCACUUGAUGUAGUCAUAUUAAUGGUUGGAUCUAACCAAAUUUUUCAGUGGAGACGCCACACACCUAUUGAAGAGAUAUCUGGGAUAAAAUUUGAUUGCUAGAAAUUAUUUAGAGAAAUAAUUGAUUAGGAACCUACCUAUAGAUAUACUAGGGUUGGCCGAGCCACACUCGGAC